CCCUUAGAUGUUCUGGGCUGCACGCGCGCUACACUGAUACUUUCAGCGAGUCCACCACCUUGCCUGAGAGGGUGGGGUAACCUCUGGAAAGUGUAUCGUGAUGGGGAUCGAUUAUUGUAAUUAUUAAUCUUCAACGAGGAAUUCCUAGUAAGCAUGUGUCAUCAGCCCGUGCUGAUUACGUCCCUGCCCUUUGUACACACCGCCCGUCGCUCCUACCGAUUGAGUGGUCCGGUGAGGCUUUGGGAUCUGAGCGGAAAGAGCGUUUCGCUGUUUCUGCUCGGAAAACUCAGUCGAACCUUAUCAUUUAGAGGAAGGGGAAGUCGUAACA
rnacentral:rRNA from 1 species